CGGACGCUUCUCAUCACAGGUCAGCAGAAGCGACCGGCCAAUUUUGCGUUAGUGUUGCUGCCUUCCCCCGGGAGGAAAGUUAACUCAGGGUUAGAAGAUCAUACUGCAAUAUGCAGAAUGUUGGAGCACUGUGAAAGAAUGGAAAAGCUGAAGAACUGCAUCAAUAUGGACACUUCUCAGUCACCAUAGUUCAACCUUAUAUCUGUUAAAUAAUACUACAGAGACUACAAAGCAUGUACACUGUGAACUGGAAACGAAAUACCUACCAAGCAUUGCUUCUUAUUAUAGGACUCACACGACACAGAACAGUUUUGUUACACUCCAGCUGCCUUUCUGGAAUAAAUUAUGUGGAAAGGUCACAUCUAGUCACAGGCAAGGCCAGGGCACCAAGCUCUGCUACUGGCAUUCCCUGAAUGCUAAACUUGCUAGCACCACCAAAUAUAAUGACAGUGUUUAUAAAAUGCACAUAUUAUAUGUUGUAUUAUGUAUACCCAAUAUAAAUGGAUAUUUUACGACAUUUCUGAUAAUGUGUGUGUGUGUGUGUGUGCGAGUGCAUGUGCAUCCAUAUAUUUAUCCUUCCUGUCUUACCUCAGUCAGUUAUUCAGUUAAAAGGCAAAGUUUAUUUAGCAGUCCGGGUAUAAAUGAACAGAAAUCUUCUUCAGUUUUAAGAUUACUUUAUAGGAAAGUCCACUCUCUUGUACAGUUUAACUCAACCUUUAGGUUGCUUUUCUCCCUACAAUAUGGUUCUAGUAUUGUUUAGGUACAAGAAACCUGCUUGUAUUUCAUCAAACUUUUUUUUUUCCUUGCCUUGGAGUCAAAGGACAGGAAAGCCCACCCACCUUUUUUAAAUCUUAACUUUUCACAUACUUUGGCAAAAUAAUUUGUCUCUACCUGCAUGAUACAUCACAGACACAGAGAAAUAUGUAGUUCUCCCUGUCAGGUACUGCCCACAGUCUUAUAAGCAGUUUAGUUCUACUGAUGUCAGGAGUUCAAGUAGCUGCUAUUAAAAACGAAAGACAAUGUGCAAUGAAACUGUUUUCCACUGACUUUAUUGCAGAGAGGAAGGGAAACCAUAUGAGCAUACCUAGUUGAUAGGGUUAUUGCCUGUCUCUCUUAUUGUAGAGCAGUACUGAUUCAGAUAGUUCUGUCCUGCAAGGGGGCGGGCAUAAAAUAUGGCAAAUGUCUUAUCAUUUUAGAAGCAAAACAUAUAUUCUGACUUUUCUCAAAAUGUUACAGAAAGCCUUAAUACUAUAGUUAAGUCAUUUUAAUGUAAUAUAAAGUGGAAUAAAUAACUAGCAUUGCACAUUA